rnacentral:tRNA from 1 species
CCGCCCGUGGUGGGGAGCCGCUUCUCGUUGUUCCGUGGGAGCGAACGGUGUCCGUCGGUGGGCCUCAGGUGCGGGCCCUGUCGGCGGC